UACGUAGGGUGCAAGCGUUGUCCGGAAUUAUUGGGCGUAAAGAGCUCGUAGGCGGUUUGUCGCGUCUGCUGUGAAAUCUGGGGGCUCAACCCCCAGCCUGCAGUGGGUACGGGCAGACUAGAGUGCGGUAGGGGAGAUUGGAAUUCCUGGUGUAGCGGUGGAAUGCGCAGAUAUCAGGAGGAACACCGAUGCGAAGGCAGAUCUCUGGGCCGUAACUGACGCUGAGGAGCGAAAGCAUGGGGAGCGAACAGG
rnacentral:rRNA from 1 species